AUGACUUUUCGUUCUGCCUUCCUGAUGAUUUGUUUGAAGGACACACUUGAAAGUCCAAACUUGCCUGAUGGACUGGAUACUCAUCGAUCACAGAAACCUGAGACUUCACAGCAUCACAGAAAAGAGACAGAAAAUAUAUCUGAGGAGAUCAAUGAUGCGAAGAAGGCUGACACACAAAAGUGCAUUGAUAAUAAUAAAAAGUGCAUUCUAACGUACACAAGGCGCAAACAUGGCAAUUCGAAGGAGAAGGAGGUACUAGAACUCUGUCGCAAAUCACUGAACCAUGUCAACUUCUCGGAAGCAGAUGGUGUACUUGGCAGUAAGAUGCAUAGUUGUGAGCUACCUCAACAGCAAAGUCUGUGCAAACUGUUGUCGGAUGCUACUUCUUCAUCCACAUCUAUGGGAGAAGAAAAAUGUGUAGCUAUAGAAAGUAGUACUUCACAUAUGCCCAAGGAAGCAUUCACCAAAACUAAUGAAGCAAAUAAGCGAGACGAUCAUGAUGACUCUGCUGAGCUUAGUAACAAAGAGAUGUCUGCUCCAUUGAUUGAUCUGAAUAUGGCACCACCGGAAUGUACUUAUUUGGACUGCACCUAUGAUUCGAAUUUGGAGGUGCCCAAUCUUGAAAAUACACAUGGUGAAACUUUUAAUUCAGAGGCUGAAUUGCUUGAUCGCAGAGAAAACUGGAUGAAUUUGUCUUCCAGUUCACAGAAACCGGAAAACCAGCCACCUGCUGUUGACAUGGAAAGAAUAAGGAGUUCAAGAUCGGCAGACACAUUUUUGCAUGGAGAGGCAAACAAAGCUUAUGACGCGGAUGUUGUUGGUCCACCACUGAGCUUAAGAGAACUCGGUGAGACUAGUCCUUCUACGAGACAGACAGUUCGUUUGAUGGGCAAAGAUCUCGAAGUUUGCAUGACCAGAGGUGAAUCGUUUACCGAGACUGCACAGAAACAUAAAGUAAAUUCUACCAGUACAAUUCAAGCUUCAACAUAUCAUUCAAGCACAAGCCAGGCACAGUUUGAAUACAUGACUCCACAUGAUUCCAGUAGCCUGUUUCCUACAGCACAUGUAUCUUCUGGAGAUCAACUGUCAUAUGAAAACAGGUAUGGUGAUUUUCCAAACUUGCAGACCAAUCAGCCUUUUCUAUUGGGGUGUCCACCUCCUCCCAGUUAUGGUGCAGCAUUCUAUCAGCUGAAUUCGCCGCCUUCUCGCGGUUAUUUCUCUGAUCCUAUCCCUGGGGAAGAACCACUGGCAGCACCAUUCUUGCCUAUAACCGGACAGCAUGGGGCACCAUCUUCAGUUUGCCAUGCCAAUUUGCCUCGGCAACAUAUUGUAGAUUCAACAAGCUCGUCUGUUUGCGUUCUUAACUCCGUGAGUUAUACACUCAGCCAUCCAGGCCAUGUAAUUCAAGAAGUUUCCAACAAUUCAUCGAGUGGUCGGGGUGUGCAGGAGAGAUCAGGACUGGUGAAGCUCACUCCCGGGGCGAAGCAUAUACUGGUGCCAAGCGAUAGCACGCAGGGCAACUCUGUGCCGGUGCACUCCUGUUUACCCUUUGGAAGUAGGAGCGGAACUGCUGCAGGCUCUGGAAAUAAAGGAGCCUGA
rnacentral:rRNA from 1 species